rnacentral:lncRNA from 1 species
AGCAAACAUCGCAAGUUGGACCGUCUUAUCCUGUCUAUUUUGUUUCUGCCUGCUGUGUAAUCUGGCACAUUUUGGUUGUUAGCGAAGUGAUAUGAACCAUAUAUCACUGAUGUUAAACGUACGAUAUGUCAUGGUCAGGGUCUCUUUUAACGCUGAUUUUAGCUCUCUGAACAGCGUCUUUGUUGAAGAAGAAGAAACCUGGUGGUGUGGAUUUCAGUGCUUUGAGCCGGCACGGGUAUCGUGGCGGACCAUCUAUACUGACAGUUGCUCCUCCAAAGGUUGAACCUAACUGGACUUGGUCCACUGGGAAAGAUCGCAACGAGAAGGAAGUUCUAACCGAGUCUUUUGAAGAGCGGGAACGCACAAGGGCUGCAGUAACUGAAGGAGAGAAGCUUAUCGGUGUGAUGAACCCCCAACCAAGGCAGACCGAGAAAGAGAAGGAUGCUGCUUCAUUCUCACAGAAGGAGAAGCGGAAGAGAGACCGUGGGCAGGCCAGCAGGGGUAAGAACUACGUCGAGGAGGAGAAGCGGCUCCUGAGGGGGAGUGGUGUCUACUCUGGCUUCGAUACUUGACAGUGUCCAGAACAUAUGUUAUUUGUCCGUGUUAGCUUCCGUCGUUACUGUUGGUGUGUCUGCUGUUUAGUUUUGUCGCGAAGUUCACUCUGGUCAAUCGGGGCUAUGCUUAUUCUGUAUCACCUAUCUGUCUUUGGGCUGGUUUAAACUUUGACACGCCUGCUAUUUUGCCAGAGCAGUGCUCCCGUGUCCAUCUUCGGCUAUGAUAGAUCCUGCGAACCAGCUUUGCGGCAAUGUAUCAUAGCCAUUCUUACCGGUGAGAUCUGUGUAUUAUGGUGAAGUGUUUUUUCUCUUUCUCUUUUUUGUCUCGGAAGGCUGACUAAAUGGGUUUACCGACUAAACUGGUCAACUCAAUGAACUCGUCCACAAAAGGCACAGCAUUCUUAUGUUCUUGCUAAUGAAAUUACAGGGAGAGAUAUCAAAUGGUAUUGGAUCAGAAUCGUGCGUUCUUGAUUUUCGCAGAGACAGGCAUCAAAUGGUAUUUGGAUCAGAAUGAGGGAGACGAUUUGUGACCCCAUCUCUCAUGCUUUUUCUUUGGACUUUCAAAUUUAAAUCUAUUAUAUCUCUUGAACCAAAAGUGUAAUUUAUGUUUAGUUUGCAUAUUCGGGUUCCUUGUGACGAGGUCUUUGAAAUAAGAUCACUUCCAAAUACGUUAUAACAAGCUUUUAAAACUUCACAAAGUUUGACCUGUUGAAACUUGGUAGGAAUGAAUUAAUUAAUUCAAUAACUUUCAGAAACUAAAACUUCAAACUGUCUUUUGAACCUCACCAUUAACGUUAAGGCUGAAGGGAAUUGCAAGGAAUCAAAUGAGUUUGUGGAUCGUGGGGCAAUGCUCCGGGCGGGCGGUGCCGAGCAGGUGCGUGCCCCCGCACCUGUAAGCCCUUGGGAAUUUCUUAUCAGAACGAGGUGUCGUUGUGCCGCACAUGGGAACAAUCUGCGGAAUCUAUAUGGAGCUUUGGUGGAUCAAUCUCUUCUACCUUCGCAAGAUCCAUCUCUUCUCCCGCUGCUAUUUUCCAGGACUCAAUUCUAUUUGCUUGGUUUGCUCGAAUAGCUCACGAAGCAUUUCAGAUUUCAGUACGACAACAAAAGAUAAACAAACAUUAUUUGCAGGCAUAUAUAAGUGUCAUCCCGAGCUCUCACUUGAGAAGGAAAAAAAAUGCUUUUGUGGCUCCUAACCACACACUAUUUGCAGGCAUAUAUAAGUGGAGGGUGCAUCGUACCCUGUUAUGACCGGUUUGGUCUAUACCAGAAAGAGGCCCACCGGGCAUUAGUAUUAGGGGCUUGACCCACAAGUUAUCUUAGGCAAGUUAUAUUAGGCAAGUUAUCUUAGGCUAAAGUUAUAAAUACUAGUUGUAAGACACCGUUUGAGGCAAGCAAUAAAGAUAUUAUAAUCUUCUGUUGCCCGGCUCCCCAAGGAGCCGGAACCCUAGCCGCCGCACCUAACCCUAGCCGCGACGGCGCCCCAUCGCCGGGGCGCGCUCCAGCCCUCGUCUUCCUCCCCUUGUCCGUACAAUCUACGCCGGAGGCCCGGUAGGAACCCUAGUCCUACCAAUUUGGUAUCCAGAGACACCAGGCCGAUCAUGUCGCUUCCUCCAUCACCGCCGCCGCUGCUAUCCACCUCCGCCCCACCACCGCUGCCGCCGGCCACCUCCUCGCCGAUGACGGCGAUCACGUCCGGGACCUUCACCACCACCGCGCCAGCGACGACCACCACCACGGCGGAUCCGCCCCCGCUCCUUACGCCCGAGGAGGUGUCGGGCACCCUGCGAGAACUCGUCCAGGCCGUUCGGGGCAUCACCCUCUACCUCGCCGGGAACCAGCCCCUGCCGCCGAGCGCCGCCACCCCCUCCUAUGGGCCGCCGCCGCUACAGUGGCCCGCCCCGGCCUUCCAGGCGCCCUACGGAGGGGCGCCUCCGCCGCCGCUCCUGCUGCCCUACCCGGCCGCGGGAACGCCUUGGCCAGCGUGGCCGACCGCCACCGCAUCGCUGGGGGGCCCGCCUCAGCAAUUCCUCCCAGCGCCACCGCCGGCCCCCCGACGCAGGCGACGGUGCAGCAGCACCACCAGGCGCCGCCGCCAUCGACAGCACCACCACCCGCGUCCCGCCCUACUGGCCGGCCCCUUCACCAGGUGCAAUUUCCGCCCUCGCCAUCGCCGAUUCCCGCGUGGGCGGCCGGCUCGUCUCCGGACCCGGUGUAUACUACGGCGCCGGAACACCCAAUGCCCUCCUUCUGAUCUGACCGUCCCUCCAGCUCGGCGAACCACACCCCAGAGAUCCCCGACCCGGCACACGCACUACCGUUGACUGCAGCUCCCGGGCACGGUGGCCCGACACCCCCUCGCUUCGCCAAACUGGACUUCGCCACUUACGACGGCACGGAGGACCCCCUUAACUGGCUCAACCAGUGCGAGCAGUUCUUUCGAGGGCAGCGGACGCUCGCUUCGGAUCGUACCUGGCUCGCGUCCUAUCAUCUCCGAGGCGCGGCGCAGACUUGGUACUAUGCCCUCGAGCAGGACGAGGGCGGCAUGCCACCAUGGGAGCGCUUCCGGGAGCUUUGUCUCCUCCGGUUCGGGCCUUCUAUCCGCGGGAGCCGACUAGCGGCCCUCGGCCGCUUGCCUUUCACAUCCACGGUGCAGGACUACGCCGACCGCUUCCAGGCCCUGGCAUGCCAUGCGCCGGGCGUCUCCGCGACUCAGCGCGCCGAGUUAUUUGUGGGCGGAUUACCGGACCAUAUUCGCGUGGACGUCGAGCUCCGGGAUCCCCCCGACCUCCAGACGGCCAUGUACUACGCCCGGGCCUUCGAACAGCGGGCUCAGGCGCUGCAGCAACCGGCCGGCCGGGGCGGCCGCCAUCCCAGUCGACCCGCGCCGACUCCACCAUCACCGGGCCGGCUUCUUCCAGCCACGACGACCGCACCUCAGGCCACCACCCGGACCUUCCGUCGGUUGUCACCAGCCGAGCAGCAGGAGCGUCGCCGUCAGGGCCUCUGCUUCAACUGUGAUGAGCCCUACACGCCGACCCAUGUCUGCCCCCGCCUAUUUUACUUGGAGACGGUCGACUACACCGAGGCGGACGACUCGACCGACGAGCCACCAACCGCGGCGGCCGCGGAUUCCACGGCGACGGCGUGCGUCGUCUCCCUCCACGCUCUCGCCGGCAUCCGUGGCGAACGGACCAUGUUGUUACCGGUGACAGUCCAUGGCGAGCGGCUGGUGGCCCUGCUGGAUACUGGCUCCACCCAUAACUUCCUGCCCGCGGCGACCAUGCGUCGGCUAGCACUGCCGACCACGGGCGGGGAGCGCCUGCGGAUCACGGUGGCAAACGGCGAUCGCCUCCGGUGCCAUGGGCUCGCCCGCGACGUUCCCAUCUCCAUCGGUGGCGAGCACUUCUCCAUUACAUGUGCAGGCAUCGACCUCGGCUGCUUCGACUUCAUCCUCGGGGUGGAUUUUCUCCGGACCCUCGGGCCCAUCCUGUGGGACUUCGACGCACUCUCGAUGACGUUCUGGCGGCUGGGCUGCCGCAUCCGGUGGGACGGCCUUGGGGGCGCCGCGCCAGCCGUGCCACACCUCCAGCUGGCCGCCGCGUCCCAGGAGGCCGAGCACCCCCUGCUGGAUCCCCUUCUACAGCAGCACAGCGACCUCUUCGACGAGCCACGGGGUCUUCCACCCGCCCGGGUGUACGACCAUCAUAUUCACCUCGUACCGGGCUCCACCCCCGUGGCGGUUCGUCCCUACCGCUACCCUCAGCUGUAGAAGGAUGAGUUGGAGCGACAGUGUGCCCUUAUGCUCGCGGCAGGCAUCAUCCGGAUCUCCACGUCGCCCUUCUCCGCGCCGGUGCUUCUCAUCCGUAAGUCGGACGGCACGUGGCGUUUCUGCAUUGACUAUCGCGCCCUCAACGCGCUCACGCUCAAGGACAAGUUCCCUAUACCGGUGGUCGACGAGCUCUUGGAUGAGCUCCAUGGGGCGCGCUUCUUCACCAAGCUCGAUCUCCGGUCGAGCUAUCAUCAGGUGCGCAUGCAUCCAGACGACAUCGCCAAGACGGCGUUUCGCACCCACCAUGGCCACUUCGAGUUCUUGGUGAUGCCCUUCGACCUCGCCAACGCCCCGGCGACUUUCCAGGCCCUGAUGAACGACGUCCUUCGACCCUACUUACAGCUGUUUGUGCUUGUUUUCUUUGAUGACAUUCUUAUCUACAGCGCCACCUGGGCCGAGCACCUCUAGCACGUCGCCAUCGUCUUCAACGAGCUUCGGGCGCACCACCUCCACCUUAAGCGCUCGAAGUGCUCGUUCGGGACACCUACCGUCGCCUACCUCGGCCAUGUCAUCUCGGCCGACGGGGUGGCUAUGGACGCCGACAAGGUGGCGGCCGUCUCUGCAUGGCCGACGCCUCACUCGCCGCGGGCUCUCCGCGGGUUCCUCGGCCUAGCCGGCUACUACCGGAAAUUUAUCCGGGAGUUCGGGCUCAUCGCGGAGCCCCUCACGCGGUUGCUUCGCCGCGACGCUUUCGCCUGGGACGACGAGGCGACGACGGCGUUCGAGGCCCUCAAGGGGGCCCUCACGACGGGCCCCGUCCUCUAGAUGCCCGACUUCGACCGCCCGUUCGUGGUGGACUGUGACGCCUCGGGCGCCGGGUUCGGCGCCGUGCUUCAUCAGGGCGAUGGGCCCCUCGCUUUCUUCAGCCGGCCUUUCGCUCCACGCCAUCUUAAGCUGGCGGCAUACGAGCGGGAGCUCAUUGGCCUUGUACAGGCCGUUCGUCAUUGGCGGCCGUACUUGUGGGGACGAUCCUUCCACAUUCGCACGGACCACUACAGCCUGAAGUUCUUGCUGGACCAACGGUUGUCGACCGUGCCGCAGCACCAGUGGAUCAGCAAGCUCUUCGGCUUUGACUUCUCCGUCGAGUAUCGGCCGGGCCGUCUUAACAUCGUGGCCGACGCGCUGUCCCGUCGCGACUCCGACCUUGCUUCCUCCACCGACGAGUCCGCCGGGGCGGCCCUGUGCAUCCGCUCCGGGCCGACGUUCGGUCUCUUCGCCGACAUUCGCCGCGCCACUACGACGGCCAACGACGCCGUCCUUCUUCAGCAGCAGCUCACGGCCGGCGACCUGGAGGAGCCUUGGCGCUUCUCUGACGGACUGCUUCUCCAUGGGCGCCGGAUCUUUGUUCCGGCGCAUGAUGAUCUCCGUCACCAGGUGUUACAGCUCGCCCACUCGGCGGGUCAUGAGGGUGUGCAGAAAACCCUCCAUCGUCUUCGCGCCGACUUCUACAUCCCUGGCGAUCACGCCCUGGUCCGCGACUGGGUUCGGUCUUGUCAGACAUGCCAGCGCAACAAGACGGAGACCCUUAGGCCGGCUGGCUUACUUCAGCCUUUGGAGGUGUUGUCUCAGGUUUGGGCGGAUAUCUCCAUGGACUUCAUCGAGGGCCUUCCCAAGGUGGGCGGCAAGUCGGUCAUUCUCAUGGUGGUCGACCGCUUCUCCAAGUACGCCCACUUCAUCGCGCUCGGCCAUCCGUACACGGCGGCGUCAGUGGCCCGGGCCUUCUUCGACGGCAUCGUCCGUCUUCACGGGUUCCCUGCUUCGAUCGUCAGUGAUCGGGACCCAGUGUUCACGGGCCAUGUCUGGCGCGAUCUCUUCAGCAUGGCGGGUGUCCAACUCCGCCUGAGUACGGCGUUCCAUCCUCAGACAGAUGGUCAGUCCGAGGUGGUUAACAAGGUCAUUGCCAUGUAUUUGCGUUGUGUGACAGGUGAUCGGCCUCGCGCUUGGGUGGAUUGGCUCUCUUGGGCGGAGUACUGCUACAAUACCUCUUAUCACUCCGCCCUGCGCGCGACGCCAUUUGAGGUGGUCUAUGGUCGACCACCCCCGCCUAUACUUCCGGUGGACCCGGAGACGGCUCGAACAGAGGUUGCGGGUGACCUUAUCCGCACUCGUGACGAGAUGCUUGCUGAGGUUCGUCAGCGUCUCCUUCAGGCACAGCAGCUGGCCAAGCACUACUACGACGAUCAUCAUCGCGAGGCGGAGUUCGCGGUGGGUGAUUGGGUGUGGCUGCGUCUCCUCCACCGCUCUACGCAGUCACUCGACCCGCGCGCGAAGCGCAAGCUCGGCCCUCGCUACGCCGGGCCCUUCCCUAUCUUGGAGCGCAUUGGGAAGGUGGCCUAUCGUCUUCAGCUUCCAGCCCGCGCUCGCAUCCACGACGUCUUCCAUGUUGGGCUGCUCAAGCCUUUCCGUGGCGAGCCACCGGCGGCUCCUCCGGCGCUUCCUCCACUCGCUGAUGGUCACAUUCUUCCCGAGCCGGCAAAGGUGUUGCAGGCGCAGCUCCGUCGUGGCGUCUGGUUCGUCCUCGUUCAGUGGGCGGGCCUUCCGGAGGAGGAGGCUACUUGGGAGCAGCGUGACGAAUUCCGCCAACACUAUCCAGACUUUCAGCUCGAGGACGAGCUGUUUGCGCAGGCGGGGAGAGAUGUUAUGACCGGUUUGGUCUAUACCAGAAAGAGGCCCACCGGGCAUUAGUAUUAGGGGCUUGACCCACAAGUUAUCUUAGGCAAGUUAUAUUAGGCAAGUUAUCUUAGGCUAAAUUUAUAAAUACUAGUUGUAAGACACCGUUCGAGGCAAGCAAUAAAGAUAUUAUAAUCUUCUGUUGCCCGGCUCCCCAAGGAGCCGGAACCCUAGCCGCCGCACCUAACCCUAGCCGCGACAGCGCCCCAUCGCCGGCGCGCCCGCUCCAGCCCUCGUCUUCCUCCCCCUUGUCCGUACAAUCUACGCCGGAGGCCCGGUAGGAACCCUAGUCCUACCAUACACUUUUUGCCUAGUUGUCAUGCGUAGAUUGCCUUUCCGGGAAAAAAAAUCUCAGCAUAAGAGAUGUUUCUGCUUACGGACCACUCCAUUCGGUUCGUCUCAGCCUUCCUUUGCUAUGGCAAUUGCAGGCGGAUUUAUUGGUUGAUCUGUGAGGGAUGGUGGCAAAGGCUCGUGUAUCCAUAUCAUCAACUAAAAACUUCAAGGUAAAAACACUAGCUGUAAUUCUCCAGCUACCGAGCAGGAUUUGCGUCAUGAAUGUAGAAUAACUUUACCAAAUUUUACUCUACACGUAAGAUGCAUAGGCUUCGACAAAGCUCUACAGUGGACACAUAACAACAUGCGUACAUAGAGUGUAUAAUAACUGCUGUGAAUUUGCAAUUGUAUGUAAAGGGAUAAAAAUAGUAAACAAAAUAUGUUUCAUAAAACUUGGGCGAAUGAUAUCUUGCAAGUGCACAGGGCUGGUUGUAGCUGCUUUUGAAGUAAGAGUAUUGAUCCUACAAAGAGCUGAGAAAAUGGUCAUUUGCCUCUAUAGAGAUUGAUCGCAAAGUGCCUCCAAGUCCUCUAAGGGCAUCUUCAACGGCAUACUCCAAAGCGUCCCUAAACAUCUGGACCACGAUGUCCGUGUUAGAAUAAAUUCGAGGCACUCAGUCGAUCAUCUGAGGACCAAGCAAUCACACGAGCAUGACAUCAAGAUUUGUUAACGAGGUUCACCGAUAUGGCUACAUCUUCGGGGCCUAAUUAUGGGCGCUCCUCCCCAUGACACCGUUACAAUACGCACCAGGACGCUCUGGACGCCAGCACACGCCGCCGGCUUUCCCUGCGUUCCUGUGCUAUUAUGUUGGCAUAGGUUACAUCGUGUGUCUACCCCCAUUAUAUAUGAGAGGCCCAGGAUACAAGUGUCCUAAUAGGACACGACUUAUCCUAUCUAAACACAAUACAACUACAAGUCCAACUGUAACCUACCUUGUACAUAAUAUUCGACACAACUCUAACAAACUCCACCUUGGCGAAUAUUCUCCACCACCUUGAAUUCGUUAAUGCGUCAAACUUCCAUGUACAUUGAAUUUGAGCUUAUCCCAAGAGUACGGCUGCUACUUCAAAGACUCCAUAUGACUCCACCUGCAACUUGUAGUCCCUUCAUUUCUUGACCACAGUCAACGCUCAAGCGAAAUUAAAUUCCCCUUACUCUAGUUUGUGCUCCCAACUUUCAGAGUAUCCGUUCAAUGCCAUCACACACUGAUCACUGACCUGCGUGAAAGUGAACAACUCCCAUAUUGGGUGUCACACAUAAGAGUUACCUGAACUCAACAUCAUCGCUCCUUUCUUGACCGCCUGUCUGAAACUUGAAUGAAUUUCACCAUUGCUUGUAGUCAUCCUGAGUUAAAUUCGCAGUUGUCUCACCACAUGUAUGACCACCAGAGCCCUGGCCCGUCUCCAUGUCCCAUGCAUACCGCACGCCUCGCCGCUAUUACCGCGUCGAGCCUCCGCUGUCCCGGUCGAGUCUCAAGGGUCACAAACCCACACCACUCAACCCCCACUGCAGAGUACCACCGAUCAUCACCGACCGAUGACGAGUUUCACACUUCCAUCGGACCACUGGGCUCCAGUCCGAACUGCGUGUCACUCGCUUUUCUCGCUGAAAUAUGCUUCGACUCUGAGCUCUUACGCCGUAGCCCCUCAAUCAGCACCGAGUGAAGUCUUCCAGACUCCAGCUCCACCUUCUACAUGACUCCAUGGUAGAUGAUCAGUCCACCCUCGCGCCCCGUCGACAUCAAGCUCUCAUGUGCGCACCGUCUUGAAUCAACCCCGCGCCAUAGUCUUAUCGAAGCCACACAAGCCCUCGGGGCCUGCGCCACGUGUUUCCACGCCCAAAAGUCGGUCACCAUCAACAUCACGCUCCUAUGUCGUCGUCGCCGAUCCCACCACCGUCUUCUGUACCAAGGGACUUGCGUCGAUCCGUCAGAUUAUCUAGUCCGACCCAGGCUCCCAGAUCAUUCCACGGAUUUCCAUCCAUCACAUGAUAAUUCUGUCACAGCUGACUUGACUUCCCGCAACGCCUUCAAGCAUCCCUGUUGUGCCAACAAAUCUUUCACCCUGGUCUGCCAUAACUCAAGGUUUUCAGUCCCGUUAAACUUCUUCACCUCAAACCUAGUACCCGAUGGCGCCACAGUUCUUUGUACGGCUGACCCUGCGAAAAAUUAUGCAAACUUUCCUCACGUGAUGCCCAAGUACACAAGCAAAACCUGACGUGGUACACCCUCAUGUACUAAUAGCAAUUCCAACCAAAAGAAAAUCUUCUGGUAAUCACGUGAUGGCUCGUGCUUUAGCUCAAACCACGAUGCUAGCUUUUGACUUUGCCUUGCCAACGCCUUUCCAAUGGAUGCACAUAAUCAGCAAUGGAUUUUCUCUGCACAAAUCUGAUCUGAUGCCUUGCCACGUACGGUUACCCAGCCCUUGCUGCUAUGUAAUAGCGCACCUGCAGCUUGCCGAAUACGAGGACUUCCAGGACUCGGUCCUUUUUGUUUCCAAACAAAUCUCUGUCCGCUGUCUUCCGAUUGCGUCGGAGCAACGACUCACUGCGCGCCCUGCCUUUGCUAGCCUCGCACGUCUGGGCCACCCAACACCUGGGCCGCAGCCAUGAUGACUGGGCCGUGUGCUCCCGCGCCACGACCAGCGCGUAUCACGCGCCGCCUGUACGCCAAGUCCCAGUUGCCUGCCUGCUGCGUCGGUUUCCGCACACGAUCAAUCUGCUAUCGAUCUCGCCGAGUCGGCUUCGAACACGACGCGUGUUGCUGCAACUCAACGCCAAUCGCGUAUGUGCACGCUCAUACACGCCACCGAUCGAUGUGCCGAUCAAUCCGUAGCUUUCGCGGGCGAAGUGCACGCGCCUCGUAAAUCUCGGCGAAUCCUUCCGAUCUCGUCCUCUAGAUCGACACGAACAUCGUCUCACACCUAGCUGAUCAUACCACUUGUUAGAAUAAAUCCGAGGCACUCAGUGGAUCAUUCGAGGACCAAGCAAUCACACGAGCACGACACCGAGAUUUGUUAACGAGGUUCACCGAUAUGGCCACAUCUCCGGGGCCUGACUAUGGGCGCUCCUCCCCAUGACACCGCUACAAUACGCACCAGGACGUCAGCACACGCCGCCGGCUUCCCCUGCGUUCCUGUGCUAUUAUGUUGACAUAGGUUACGUCGUGUGUCUACCCCCAUUAUAUAUGAGAGGCCUAGGAUACAAGCGUCCGAAUAGGACACGAGUUAUCCUAUCUAAACACAAUACAACUACAAGUCCAACUGUAACCUAACUUGUACACAAUAUUCGACACAACUCUAACAGUCCGGACAUUUUUUGUCAUCUAACGCCGUGCACAAACGUCCGCGGACACGUCCGGGUGUCCGAAUUCCUACAAACCAGCCACAAAUUGGUAGGAGGUUUGCGGGAGUCCGGACAUGCGGCACGUAGGCUUCCGACACCCCAGUCCACCCAACCCCUUCUCCAAAACCACUCCCCCACUCCGUCCUCCCCCUUGCUCUGUAUCCGCACCUUUCAAGUUCGACGUUGCCGCUCUACCACUUCGGCCGCCGCCCAGGCCUUGCCGGACAUCUGCCACCGUGAGGGCUUGCCAGUUGUCCGCCUUGGACUACCCCACCAUAUGUGUUGGAUCCGUCCACAACCAGGUAUACCCCCCCCUGCCGGCGUCGUCCAUGGCGGACACCACGUCUGACAAGUGUCCGGCCAAAUGCUAACGAGAUUUUCUUUGAUGUUAUUGAUGUUUACUUUGAACCAAACACAAUGGGCAUACUCGAUAAUGAAGGAUGGGUUGUUGUGCGAUGCAUGGUUGCCAGAAGUGCGGACUUUGUAUGCCUGAAGCAAGAGGGCACAAUAUUUUGGCUAAAUGUGCAUUCUUGGUUUCAUGAGCAAAAACACUUCGCGCCCUACAACUUGCAUGUGAUCUAUGAAUGCAAUGUGAAAUCGCUAGCCCAUCGACGAUAGACCAUCUCAAACUCUGUCAUGAAGUAUUGUAGUGCGACUACACGGGGAAAGAGGGUGGCCACCGGGAUAACAAAUCAUGGAGAUCAUAAGUUUUUCUUCUUGUUGCCCCACAUAUUGGUCAAUUUAUUGAUUCACUCAAUGUACCAACUUGAUGAUCACGUGCUUGUAUAUCCUGCACGCGCUGCCAUAUUGUAUCAAAUAACGGAGGGCGGACCAUUCAUGUUGAUGCAUUGUUGGAUGAAGCUCAAGGUGCACAGCCUGUGUAUGAACAAUACUUUGCUCUAGGAUUAUUUCAGACGUAAUACUUAUAUUUGAACUAUUGUUGUACUAGAAUAUCUGCAUGCUAUUUAUUGAUGGAUUAUGUUAUUUUAUAUAAUUAUUUUGAGUGCUCGGAACAUAGAAAAAAAUAGAGGUGAACAUUUGGUGCAUAGGAUUGGAUGUCCGGCUUCCGUAUAGGGUCCGCGGAUGCGUCCGCGAACGUUUAGUGUGUCCGAUUUGAGGUACACCAUUGGUAUGCCCUUAGAUUUCAAGCAGAAGUGAUGUGAUGGUUGAGAGGUUGCAAGUGUGUUUGAGCAAUAACAAAAAUAGAGGUGAACAUAUGAAUACACAAUAGGUUUUGGUAUUACAACAAGAUGGAUGGGAGAGUCGACAACGGUGGGAUUGAUAGUGAUGGAGAGGAUCAAGCUCGAUAUCGUGUCCACCGUGAUUGAAGCAGUGGUGAGAUGGAUGCCCUUCUGCUGAUUCCCCAUCCGGAUCCCUUUCGGAUGUGAGGUUACCGGUACUGUUUCGUACGAUGGAGUCUAUCUUUUUGUCGUAACUGAGAUUCGAUUGCAGGGGUGGAAAUAGUUAACCAGGAGAAGGCGACAACAAGUGGUACAACUGUUGGUACGAGUAGGUGCGCACAAGGCAAAAUGCAACGUGUUUCUUCUCACGUGUUUGUCUUUUUGUAUGGAAGGUUUUGUGAGGUCCAAUAAAUAUAUUUUUGACCAAAAAUGGGUGUUUUCGAAUGAACAAUCCAAAUCUACUGAUUAUGGGAAUCCUGGUGAAAUGAUAUGAAAACAGGUGAGCGAUCAUGGUAAAAUACAGAAAAUCUUACAUCUACGAUGCAAAAAAACUAAGUAAAACAUGAUGCAAGAUGCAUUCAUUAGUGAACACAAUAGUGUAAGUCAUAUUAAUGAGGGGAGUACCUAAACCUUUAAUUUGGAUUAUAUAAAGAAACUUAUUCAUGUGCUAGUGUAUUAUGGGAGAAUACUAGGCAUGCUUCUAAUAUCUGACGUCUUCUUUUUGUGUGGAAAGGACUCAGAUCUAUUAUAAAAGUUCAUUCGAAGCACAAAACAACUCAAACAUAAUAAAAAUUGCAUCAUGGUCUUUGAACCACCGAACGACCACUGCCGCCGCCAGAACGAGCCGCUGUCACCACUCCCAUACUGCAGUCGGCCUGACCUUGUCUAUGAUAACUGAAAAUCUUCGUGCACGUGCUUCUAAGGACCAACACCCCAGAACCGUAAUUGUCUCCAUUGAACCCUAACCUUGCCGCCCCGAGGAGUUGGCAGGAAUCUACGUGGGAGCUCCGUCUGGUCCGUCCCGACAUACGAACUUGAGAGGGUCAGAGCUCGAAAGACUUACUAGAAGAAGAAGCGCCGCCAUCUUUCGGAGUGCUGCCAACUAAAACCCUAACCUAUCUACUAGCCGGAGCUGAGACACUGGAAUUCCCGUCAUCGCUACUGGCCACUGGAGUGGUGGGAAGAGGGGUGGCAAAUCCACGGGCUCGCCUGCGGAGAUCGAGGGAAGGAAAGCUUUGCCCAACUCGCCUUGCGAGAGGAGAAAUAAAAACAAAAGGGAGCUACAUUUUCAAGCGUAAGAUAUCUAAUAUAUAACAUCUAACAUGGAAGAUAUAUAGGGGUACAUGUGUGUAAUAUCUCAUCCAUAGCUUUACUCCCAAUACAUCUUAAAAAACUUGCAAUAGUUAAUCCUAGUACAACUUAAAAGUCUUGCAAGUAACACAACCGUAUAAACAAUUCAUGUCUAGUUACAUUGUUGCACGGUAUGCAUGUUAGGUAGAGAAAGCACCAUUAACAUAGAAUGGCUUGGCGAACCCAUCUGUGGUUGGAUGGCUAGGAGUACAGUGGGCUUGGAUGGCUAGGAGGACAGUGGUAUCCCAGCCCACGAGAGUUCAAGCCCUAGACUUGACAUUGUUGCUCGUAUUUUUCUGAAUUUAUUUCAGGCCUUCCGGCAAUGUGCGUUCAGUGAAAUGAGAUAUUUUCGUUGAGUAUGAAGGCGUCUGUGGCUACUUCGUCAAUCUUAAGAUCAUGUGCCGGCUCAGUCUCUCGGAGGUGCUCAUAGAGGUAGGGUAGACAUGCGUGCGUUCAUAGGGAUGAGUGUAUGCUCGUGUAUGUGAGCAACUUUAAUUGUAGCAUUAAAAAACAUAGAAUGGCGUGCUUUAGAGGAAAAACAACCGAGAUGUGUCCUCAUUGUUACUAAGAGCCAGUUCUGAUGUUGGCUUAUAGAAUAAGCUGGAAUAAGCUGCCCCUACCCAGUUUAUUCUAGAUGCCCAACUAAGUUUAUCUUUUUAGAAGCCAUCUAAUUAAGACUUGACUAGUAGGUUUUUAAAAAUAUUUUUGGUUGAGCUUCUAGAAUAAACUGGAUAGGGGGCAGCUUAUUCUAGAAGUCCAAAACAGCCAAAAAAAUGGCCAUAAUAUGAAAAUAGAGCGACACCUCCUUGCUGCAAGGUCAGAAACAAUUUGAGUCUGUAUUCCAUACAAUUUAUGUGUAUAAUUUACAAAGUCUGUAUUUGAUAGACUCAUCAACAUAGAUCCAACUUUUACUAUCUAGUUAGGACAACUUCAACAAUGACCUCUAAAAUGGACACACUAUUUGUCCACGGACUUGUCGGACCGGUUUGCAGAUACGGAUAUGGAAGUCAGUCAUCCAACUGCAUACCCUGAACGUCUUCCCAGGUCCGGUUAUUCUUCACUUCAAAUGCAUAGCAAUAUAAGAAAAAUAAAGUGUGGUCUUUAUACCGUCUAUUUGCAAUCAAAAAGGGACGUCAUCGAGCUGAACAUCUGCUGAACACGGAGGUGCCGUACGUUUGUUACUUGGAUCGGUUGGAUCGUGAAGACAUUCGACUACAUCAACCGCGUUAACCUAACGCUUCCGCUUUCGGUCUAUGAGGGUACGUGGACACACUCUCCCCCUCUAGUUGCUAUGCAUCUCCUAGAUAGAUCUUGCGUGAGCGUAGAUUUUUUUUUUGAAAUUGCAUGCUACGUUCCCAACAGUGGCAUCCGAGCCAGGUCUAUGUGUAGAUGAUAUGCACGAGUAGAACACAAAGAGUUGUGGGCGAUAAUAGUCACACUGCUUACCACCAACGUCUUACUUUGAUUCGGUGGUAUUGUUGGAUGAAGCGGCCUGAACCGACAUUACAUGACCGCGUUCAUGAGACUGGUUCUACCAACGUGCUUCGCACACAGGUGGCUGGCGGGUGUCUGUUUCUCCAACUUUAGUUGAAUCGAGUUUGACUACGGCCGGUCCUUGGUGAAGGUUAAAACAGCACACUUGACGAAAAAUUGUUGUGGUUUUGAUGCGUAGGUAAGAACGGUUCUUGCUAGAAGCCCGUAGCAGCCACGUAAAACUUGAAACAGCAAAGUAGAGACAUCUAACUUGUUUUUGCAGGGCAUGUUGUGAUGUGAUAUGGUCAAGACAUGAUGUGAUAUAAUUUAUUGUAUGAGAUAAUCAUGUUUUGUAAAAGUUAUCGGUAACUGGCAGGAGCCUUAUGGUUGUCGCUUUAUUGUAUGAAAUGCAAUCGCCAUGUAAUUGCUUUACUUUAUCACUAAGCGGUAGCGAUAGUCAUAGAAGGAAUAGUUGGCGAGACGACAACGAUGCUACGAUGGAGAUCAAGGUGUCAAGCCAGUGACGAUGGAGAUCAUGACGGUGCUUUGGAGAUGGAGAUCAAAGGCACAAGAUGAUGAUGGCCAUAUCAUGUCACAUAUUUUGAUUGCAUGUGAUGUUUAUCUUUUAUGCAUCUUAUUUCGCUUAGUACGGCGGUAGCAUUAUAAGAUGAUCCCUCACUAAAUUUCAAGGUAUAAGUGUUCUCCCUGAGUAUGCACCAUUGCCACAGUUCGUUGUGUUGAGACACCACGUGAUGAUCGGGUGUGAUAAGCUCUACGUUCACAUACAACGGGUGCAAGCCAGUUUGCACGUGCAGAAUACUCGGGUUAAACUUGACGAGCCUAGCAUAUGCAGAUAUGGCCUCGGAACACUGAGACCGAAAGGUCAAAUGAGAAUCAUAUAGUAGAUAUGAUCAACAUAGAGAUGUUCACCAUUGAAAACUACUCCAUCUCACGUGAUGAUCGGACAUGGUUUAGUUGAUAUGGAUCACGUGAUCAUUUAGAUGACUAGAGGGAUGUCUAUCUAAGUGGGAGUUCUUAAGUAAUAUGAUUAAUUGAACUUUAAUUUAUCACGAACUUAGUACCUGAUAGUUUUUUCAUAUCAAUGUUGUUGUAGAUCAAUGGCCCGUGCUACCGUUCCCUUGAAUUUUAAUGCGUUCCUAGAGAAAGCUAAGUUGAAAGAUGAUGGUAGCAACUACACGGACUGGGUCCGUAACUUGAGGAUUAUCCUCAUUGCUGCACAGAAGAAUUACGUCCUGGAAGCACCGCUAGGUGCAAGGACCACUGCAGGAGCAACUCCGGACGUUAUGAACGUCUGGCAGGCUAAAGCUGACGACUACUCGAUAGUUCAGUGUGCCAUGCUUUACGGCUUAGAAUCCGGACUUCAAAGACGUUUUGAAUGUCAUGGAGCAUAUGAGAUGUUCCAGUAGUUGAAAUUAAUAUUUCAAGCAAAUGCCCGAGUUGAGAGAUAUGAAGUCUCCAACAAGUUCUAUAGCUGCAAGAUGGAGGAGAAUAGUUCUGUCAGUGAACACAUACUCAGAAUGUCUGGGUACCAUAACCACUUGACUCAACUGGGAGUUAAUCUUCCUGAUGAUAGUGUCAUUGACAGAGUUCUUCAAUCACUACCACCAAGCUAUAAAGGCUUCGUGAUGAACUAUAAUAUGCAAGGGAUGGAAAUGACAAUUCCCGAGCUCUUCGCGAUGCUAAAGGCUGCGGAGGUAGAAAUCAAGAAGGAGCAUCAAGUGUUGAUGGUUAACGAGACCACUAGUUUCAAGAAAAAGGGCAAAGGGAAGAAGGGGAACUUCAAAAAGAAUAGCAAGCAAGUUGCUGCUCCUGGGAAGAAGCCCAAGUCUGGACCUAAGCCUAAAACUGAGUGCUUCUACUGCCAAGGGACUGGUCACUGGAAGCGGAACUGCCCCAAGUAUUUGGCGGAUAAGAAGGAUGGCAAAGUGAAAGGAGAAAUCCUUCUUGCUACCUCUUGAGCACUGCGUUGGUUUUCCCUUGAAGAGGAAAGGGUGAUGCAGUAAAGUAGCGUAAGUAUUUCCCUCAGUUUUUGAGAACCAAUGUAUCAAUCCAGUAGGAGACCACGCUCGAGUCCCACGCACCUACACAAACAAAUAAGAACUUCGCAACCAACGCAAUAAAGGGGUUGUCAAUCCCUUCACGGUCACUUACGAGAGUGAGAUCUGAUAGAUAUGAUAAGAUAAUAUUUUUGGUAUUUUUAUGAUAAAGAGAAAUGAAGAUGCAAAGUAAAAUAAACGGCGCCAGAAAUAGCUUGUUGACGGGAGAUUAAUAUGAUGGAAAAUAGACCCGGGGGCCAUAGGUUUCACUAGUGGCUUCUCUCAAGAGCAUAAGUAUUACAGUGGGUAAACGAAUUACUGUCGAGCAAUUGAUAGAAUUGAGCAUAGUUAUGAGAAUAUCUAGGUAUGAUCAUGUAUAUAGGCAUCACGUCCGCGACAAGUAGACCGAAACGAUUCUGCAUCUACUACUAUCACUCCACACAUCGACCGCUAUCCAGCAUGCAUCUAGAGUAUUAAGUUCAGAAGAACAGAGUAAUGCUUUAAGUAAGAUGACAUGAUGUAGAGGGAUAAACUCAUGCAAUAUGAUAUAAACCCCAUCUUUUUAUCCUCGAUGGCAACAAUACAAUACGUGUAGUUUCCCUUUCUGUCACUGGGAUCGAGCACCGCAAGAUUGAACCCAAAGCUAAGCACUUCUCCCAUUGCAAGAAAGAUCAAUCUAGUAGGCCAAACCAAACUAAUAAUUCGAAGAGACUUGCAAAGAUAACCAAUCAUACAUAAAAGAAUCCAGAGGAGAUUCAAAUAUUGUUCAUAGAUAAACUUGAUCAUAAACCCACAAUUCAUCGGAUCUCGACAAACACACCGCAAAAGAAGAUUACAUCGAAUAGAUCUCCAAGAAGAUCGAGGAGAACUUUGUAUUGAAAUCCAAAGAGAGAGAAGAAGCCAUCUAACUAAUAACUAUGGAUCCGAAGGUCUGAGGUAAACUACUCACACAUCAUCGGAGAGGCUAUGGUGUUGAUGUAGAAGCCCUCCGUGAUCGAUGCCCCCUCCAGCGGAGCGCCGGAAAAGGCCCCAAGAUGGGAUCUCACGGGUACAGAAGGUUGCGGCGGUGGAAAUAGGGUUUUGGCUCCGUAUAUGGUGUUUCCAAGGUACAUGGGUAUAUAUAGGAGGAAGAAGUACGUCGGUGGAGCAACGAGGGGCCCACGAGGGUGGAGGGCGCGCCCAGGGGGGUAGGCGCGCCCCCCUGCCUCGUGCCUUCCUCGUUGAUUACUUUACGUAGACUCCAAGUCCUCUGGAUCACGUUUGUUCCGAAAAUCACGUUCCCAAAGGUUUCAUUCCGUUUGGACUCCGUUUGAUAUCCUUUUCCUUCGAAACGCUGAAAUAGGCAAAAAAACAGCAAUCUGGGCUGGGCCUCCGGUUAAUAGGUUAGUCCCAAAAAUAAUAUAAAAGUGUAUAAUAAACCCAUUAAACAUCCAAAAGAGAAUAUAAUAUAGCAUGGAACAAUAAAAAAUUAUAGAUACGUUGGAGACGUAUCAAGCAUCCCCAAGCUUAAUUCCUGCUCGUCCUCGAGUAGGUAAAUGAUAAAAACAGAAUUUUUGAUGUGGAAUGCUACUUAGCAUAAUUUUCAAUGUAAUUCUCUUAAUUGUGAUAUGAAUAUUCAGAUCCGAAAGACUCAAGAUAAAAUUUUAAUAUUGACAUAAAAAUAAUAAUACUUCAAGCAUACUAACUAAGUAAUUAUGUCUUCUCAAAAUAACAUGGCCAAUGAAAGUUAUCCCUACAAAAUCAUAUAGUCUGGCUAUGCUCUAUCUUCCCCGCACAAAAUAUUUAAGUCAUGCACAACCCCGAUGACAAGCCAAGCAAUUGUUUCAUACUUUUGGUGUUCUCAAAAUUUUCAAUUUUCACGCAAUACAUGAGCGUGAGCCAUGGAUAUAGCACUAUAUAUGGAAUAGAAUGGUGGUUGUGGAGAAGACAAAAAGGAGAAGAUAGUCUCACAUCAACUAGGCAUAUCAACGGGCUAUGAAGAUGCCCAUUAAUAGAUAUCAAUGUGAGUGGGUAGGGAUUGCCAUGCAUCGAAUGCACUAGAGCUAUAAGUAUAUGAAAGCUCAAAAAGAAACUAAGUGGGUGUGCAUCCAACUUGCUUGCUCACGAAGACCUAGGGCAUUUUGAGGAAGCCCAUCAUUGGAAUAUACAAGCCAAGUUAUAUAAUGAAAAAUUCCCACUAGUAUAUGAAAGUGAUAUCAUAGGAGACUCUCUAUCAUGAAGAUCAUGGUGCUACUUUGAAGCACAAGUGUGGUAAAAGGAUGGUAACAUUGUCCCUUCUCCCUUUUCUCUCAUAUUUUUUUCUUUGGGCCUUUUCUCUUUUUUUAUGGCCUCUUUUUUUAUUUAGUCCGGAGUCUCAUCCCGACUUGUGGGGGAAUCAUAGUCUUCAUCAUCCUUUCCUCACAUGGGACAAUGCUCUAAUAAUGAUGAUCAUCACACCUUUAUUUACUUACAACUCAAGAAUUACAACUCAAAACUUAGAACAUAAUAUGACUCUAUGUGAAUGCCUCCGGCGGUGUACCAGGAUGCAGUGAAUCAAGAGUGACAUGUAUGAAAAUAAUGAACGGUGGCUUUGCCACAAAUACGAUGUCAACUACAUGAUCACGCAAAGCAAUAUGACAAUGAUGAAGCGUGUCAUAGUAAACGAAACGGUGGUAAGUUGCAUGGCAAUAUAUCUCGGAAUGGCUAUGGAAAUGCCAUGAUAGGUAGGUAUGGUGGCUGUUUUGAGGAAGGUAUAUGGUGGGUGUAUGAUACCGGCGAAAAGUUCGCGGUAUUAGAGAGGCUAGCAAUGGUGGAAGGAUGAGAGUGCGUAUAAUCCAUGGACUCAACAUUAGUCAUGAAGAACUCAUAUACUUGUUGCAAAAAUCUACAAGUUACCAAAGCAAAGUAUUACGCGCAUGCUCCUAGGGGGAUAGAUUGGUAGGAAAAGACCAUCGCUCGUCCUCGACCGCCACUCAUAAGGAAGACAAUCAAUAAAUAAAUCAUGCUCCGACUUCAUCACAUAACGGUUCACCAUACGUGCAUGCUACGGGAAUCACAAACUUUAACACAAGUAUUUCUCAAAUUCAUAGCCACUCAACUAGCAUGACUCUAAUAUCAUCAUCUUCAUAUCUCAAAACAAUUAUCAAGCAUCAAACUUCUCAUAGUAUUCAACACACUUAUAAGAUUUUUUUUACUAAUCUUGGAUGCCUAUCAUAUUAGGACUAAUUUUAUGAUUAAAGCAAAUUACCAUGCUGUUUUGUAGGAAUCUCAAAAUAAUAUAAGUGAAUCAGGAGAGAACAAUAGUUUCUAUAAAACAAAACCACCGCCGUGCUCUAAAAGAUAUAAGUGAAGCACUAGAGCAAAAACUAUAUAGCUCAAAAGAUAUAAGUGAAGCACAUAGAGUAUUCUAAUAAAUUCUGAAUCAUGUGGGUCUCUCUCAAAAGGUGUGUAAACCAAGGAUGAUUGUGGUAAACUAAAAAGUAAAGACUCAAAUCAUACAAGACACUCCAAGCAAAACACAUAUCAUGUGGUGAAUAAAAAUAUAGCUCCAAAUAAAGUUACCGACGAAGACGAAAGAGGGGAUGCCUUCCGGGGCAUCCCCAAGCUUUGGCUUUUUGGUGUCCUUAGAUUACCUUGGGGUGCCAUGGGCAUCCCCAAGCUUAGGCUCUUGCCACUCCUUGUUUCAUAAUCCAUCAAAUCUUUACCCAAAACUUGAAAACUUCACAACACAAAACUCAACAGAAAAUCUCGUGAGCUCCGUUAGCGAAAGAAAACAAAACACCACUUCAAGGUACUGUAUUGAACUCAUUCUUUAUUUAUAUUGGUGUUAAACUUACUGUAUGCCAACUUUUCUAUGGUUUAUAAACUAUUUUACUAGCCGUAGAUUCAUCAAAAUAAGCAAACCACACACGAAAAACAGAAUCUGUCAAAAACAGAACAGUCUGUAGUAAUCUGUAACUAACGCAAACUUCUGGAGCUCAGAAAAAUCUACCAAAAUAGGAAUUCCUAAAUAAUUUGUUUAUUGAUCUACUGCAAUUGGAAUCAGUAUUUUAUCACGUUCUGCUGAUUUUAAACAAUUGUUUUCGUGAACAGAAAGUUUCUGGAAUUUUCAGCAAGAUCAAAUAACUAUCAUCCAAGAAGGUCCUAUAGGUUUAACUUGGCACAAACACUAAUUAAAACAUAAAAACAAAUUUAACCAGAGGAUAGAUCAAAUAUUUAUUACUAAACAGAAGCAAAAAGCAAAAAACUAAAAUAAAAUUGGGUUACCUCCCAACAAGCGCUAUCGUUUAACGCCCCUAGCUAGGCAUAAAAGCAAGGAUAGAUCUAGGUAUUGCCAUCUUUGGUGAGCAAUUCUUCAAUAAGACACCUAUAACCCUUAGGAGUUUCUUUCUUUUUAUUAAUUAUCAAACUCCUAGGCACAAAAUCAAGAAAAUCAUUUGUAGCAAACGGUUCCUUAAUGAUAGCAAAAAGAUUGGGAUGAACACUUAUUGAUUUUAAAUCCGCAGUUUCCUUACUAGAGGAUUCACCCUUAUUUUUAGGAACAUAAACAAGGUUGGAAAUUUUGGUAGGAGGAUUUGGAGUAUUUUUAACAGAAGAAAAAGCGGACCCCAAGUUGGUGAUAAUUCCCUCAAGUUUAUCGAGUCUAGUAGAAUCUUGAUCUAUUCUUUCAUUAACUAUGGGUUCUUUUUCCUUAAAACUUUUCAGAGCAACUCCCACCUUAGAUCCAUAUUGGGUAAUUUGGUUGUGGAUCUUUUUAUCUCAAUCAACUCUACAGUAGCAACUUUAUUUUCAAUAAUUUCAAGCCUUUGCAUCACAUGUUCCAAAGUUAACAUAGUUCCAUUAACCAAAAGAGAUGGUGAGCCAAACAAAUCUAUCAUAGCAUUAUAAGAAUCAAAAGUAUGGCUACCCAAGAAAUUCCCUCCGGUAAUGGUAUCCAGAAUAUAUCUGUACCAAGGAGUAGCGCCUACAUAAAAAUUGCGGAGAAGAACGGAAGUAGAUUGCUUCCCGGUAGAUCUAUUUUGAGCAUUGCAAAUUCUAUACCAAGCGUCUUUUAGAUUUUCUCCCUCCCUUUGCUUAAAAUUAAGAACUUCAUUCUCAGGAGACAACGGAGAAGAUAAGGGACUAGCCAUAAUGACAAGGCAAGCAAGAAAGCGAUGAACGGAAAAGAGAGGGCAAAUAAAACGGCAAGGGUGAAGUGGGGGAGAAGAAAACGAGAGGCAAAUGGCAAAUAAUGUAAUGCGAGGGAUAAGAGUUUGUGAUGGGUACUUGGUAUGUCUUGACUUGUGCGUAGACUCCCCAGCAACGGCGCCAGAAAUGGCUCGUUGUCGGGCAAUCAAAUCUUGACUUGACUUCGGGUAAGCCUCCCCGGCAACGGUGCCAGAAAUCCUUCUUGCUACCUCUUGAGCACUGCGUUGGUUUUCCCUUGAAGAGGAAACGGUGAUGCAGUAAAGUAGCGUAAGUAUUUCCCUCAGUUUUUGAGAAUGAGGGUAUCAAUCCAGUAGGAGACCACGCUCGAGUCCCACGCACCUACACAAACAAAUAAGAACCUCACAACCAACGCGAUAAAGGGGUUGUCAAUCCCUUCACGGUCACUUACGAGAGUGAGAUCUGAUAGAUAUGAUAAGAUAAUAUUUUUGGUAAUUUUAUGAUAAAGAGAAAUAAAGAUGCAAAGUAAAAUAAACGGCGCCAAAAAUACCUUGUUGACGGGAGAUUAAUAUGAUGGAAAAUAGACCCGGGGGCCAUAGGUUUCACUAGUGGCUUCUCUCAAGAGCAUAAGUAUUACGGUGAGUAAACGAAUUACUGUUGAGCAAUUGAUAGAAUUGAGCAUAGUUAUGAGAAUAUCUAGGUAUGAUCAUGUAUAUAGGCAUCACGUCCGCGACAAGUAGGCUGAAACGAUUCUGCAUCUACUACUAUUACUCCACACAUCGACCGCUAUCCAGCAUGCAUCUAGAGUAUUAAGUUCAAAAGAACAUAGUAAUGCUUUAAGUAAGAUGACAUGAUGUAGAGGGAUAAACUCAUGCAAUAUGAUAUAAACCCCAUCUUUUUUAUCCUCGAUGGCAACAAUACAAUACGUGUCGUUUCCCUUUCUGUCACUGGGAUCGAGCACCGCAAUAUUGAACCCAAAGCUAAGCACUUCUCCCAUUGCAAGAAAGAUCAAUCUAGUAGGCCAAACCAAACUGAUAAUUCGAAGAGACUUGCAAAGAUAACCAAUCAUACAUAAAAGAAUCCAGAGGAGAUUCAAAUAUUGUUCAUAGAUAAACUUGAUCAUAAACCCACAAUUCAUCGGAUCUCGACAAACACACCACAAAAGAACAUUACAUCGAAUAGAUCUCCAAGAAGAUCGAGGAGAACUUUGUAUUGAGAUCCAAAGAGAGAGAAGAAGCCAUCUAGCUAAUAACUAUGGACCCGAAGGUCUGAGGUAAACUACUCACACAUCAUCGGAGAGGCUAUGGUGUUGAUGUAGAAGCCCUCCGUGAUCGAUGCCCCCUCCAGCGGAGCGCCGGAAAAGGCCCCAAGAUGGGAUCUCACAGGUACAGAAGGUUGCGGCGGUGGAAAUAGGGUUUUGGCUCCGUAUAUGGUGUUUCCAGGGUACAUGGGUAUAUAUAGGAGGAAGAAGUACGUCGGUGGAGCAACGAGGGGCCCACGAGGGUGGAGGGCGCGCCCAGGGGUAGGCGCGCGCCCCUGCCUCGUGCCUUCCUCGUUGAUUACUUUACGUAGACUCCAAGUCCUCUAGAUCAUGUUUGUUCCGAAAAUCACAUUCCCGAAGGUUUCAUUCCGUUUGGACUCCGUUUGAUAUCCUUUUUCUUCGAAACACUGAAAUAGGCAAAAAAACAGCAAUCUGGGCUGGGCCUCCGGUUAAUAGGUUAGUCCCAAAAAUAAUAAAAAGUGUAUAAUAAAGCCCAUUAAACAUCCAAAACAGAAUAUAAUAUAGCAUGGAACAAUAAAAAAUUAUAGAUACGUUGGAGGCGUAUCAAAAGAUAUAUUUGAUAUACAUGUUAUUGAUGUGUACCUUACUAAUGCUUGUAGUAGCGCCUGGGUAUUUGAUACUGGUUCUGUUGCUCAUAUUUGCAACUCAAAACAAGGGCUACAGAUUAAACAAAGAUUGGCUAAGGACGAGGUGACGAUGCGCGUCGAAAAUGGUUCCAAGGUGGAUGUGAUCACCGCCGGCACGCUACCUCUACAUCUACCUUCGGGAUUAGUUUUAGACCUGAAUAAUUGUUAUUUGGUGCCAGCGUUGAGCAUGAACAUUAUAUCUGGAUCUUGUUUGAUGCGAGAUGGUUAUUCAUUUAAAUCGGAGAAUAAUGGUUGUUCUAUUUAUAUGAGUAAUGUCUUUUAUGGUCAUGCACCCUUGAUGAGUGGUCUAUUUUUAUUGAAUCUCGAUCGUAGUGAUACACAUAUUCAUAAUAUUGAAGCCAAAAGAUGCAAAGUUAGUAAUGAUAGUGCAAAUUAUUUGUGGCACUGCCAUUUAGGUCAUAUUGGUGUAAAGCGCAUGAAGAAACUCCAUGCUGAUGGGCUUUUGGAAUCACUUGAUUAUGAAUCACUUGAUGCUUGCGAACCAUGCCUCAUGGGCAAGAUGACUAAGACUCCGUUCUCCGGAACAAUGGAGUGAGCCACUGACUUAUUGGAAAUAGUACAUACCAAUGUAUGCGGUUCAAUGAGUGUUGAGGCUCGCGGCGGGUAUCGUUAUUUUCUGACCUUCACAGAGGAUUUGAGCAGAUAUGGGUAUAUCUAGUUAAUGAAACAUAAGUCUGAAAUAUUUGAAAAGUUCAAAGAAUUUCAGAGUGAAGUAGAAAAUCAUCGUAACAAGAAAAUAAAGUUUCUACGAUCUGAUCGUGGAGGUGAAUAUUUGAGUUAUGAGUUUGGUCUUCAUUUGAAACAAUGUGGAAUAGUUUCGCAACUCACGCCACCUGGAACACCACAGCGUAAUGGUGUGUCCGAACAUCGUAACCGUACUUUAUUAGAUAUGGUGCGAUAUAUGAUGUCUCUUACCGAUUUAUCACUAUCGUUUUGGGGUUAUGCUUUAGAGACGGCUGCAUUCACUUUAAAUAGGGCACCAUCUAAAUCUGUUGAGACGACACCGUAUGAACUGUGGUUUGGCAAGAAACCUAAGCUGUCGUUUCUUAAAGUUUGGGGCUGCGAUGCUUAUGUGAAAAAGCUUCAACCUGAUAAACUCGAACCCAAAUUGGAGAAAUGUGUCUUCAUACGAUACCCAAAGGAAACUGUUGGGUACACCUUCUAUCACAGAUCCGAAGGCAAAAUAUUCGUUGCUAAGAAUGGAUCCUUUCUAGAGAAGGAGUUUCUCUCGAAAGAAGUGAGUGGGAGGAAAGUAGAACUUGAUGAGGUAAUUGUACCUUCUCCCGAAUUGGAAAGUAGUUCAUCACAGAAAUCAGUUCCAGUGAUUCCUACACUAAUUAGUGAGGAAGCUAAUGAUGAUGAUCAUGAAACUUCAGAUCAAGUUACUAUCGAACCUCAUAGGUCAACCAGAGUACGGUUCGCACCAGAGUGGUACGGUAAUCCUGUUCUGGAAGUCAUGUUGCUAGACCAUGAUGAGCCUACGAACUAUGAGGAAGCGAUGAUGAGCCCAGAUUCCGCGAAAUGGCUUGAGGCCAUGAAAUCUGAGAUGGGAUCCAUGUAUGAGAACAAAGUGUGGACUUUGGUUGACUUGCCCAAUGAUCGGCAAGCCAUAGAGAAUAAAUGGACCUUCAAGAAGAAGACUGACGCUAACGGUAAUGUUACUGUCUACAAAGCUCGACUUGUUGCGAAAGGUUUUUGACAAGUUCAAGGAGUUGACUACGAUGAGACCUUCUCACCCGUAGCGAUACUUAAGUCUGCACGAAUCAUGUUAGCAAUUGCCGCAUUUUAUGAUUAUGAAAUUUGGCAAAUGGAUGUCAAAACUGCAUUCCUUAAUGGAUUUCUUAAAGAAGAGUUGUAUAUGAUGCAACCAGAAGGUUUUGUCGAUCCAAAAGGUGCUAACAAAGUGUGCAAGCUCCAGCGUUCCAUUUAUGGACUGGUGCAAGCCUCUCGGAGUUGGAAUAUACGCUUUGAUAAUGUGAUCAAAGCAUAUGGUUUUAUAUAGACUUUUGGAGAAGCCUGUAUUUACAAGAAAGUGAGUGGGAGCUCUGUAGCAUUUCUAAUAUGAUAUGUGGAUGACAUAUUGUUGAUUGGAAAUAAUACAUGAUUUCUGGAUAGCAUAAAAGGAUACUUGAAUAAGAAUUUUUCAAUGAAAGACCUCGGUGAAGCUGCUUAUAUAUUGGGCAUCAAGAUCUAUAGUGAUAGAUCAAGACGCUUAAUUGGACUUUCACAAAGCACAUACAUUGAUAAAGUUUUGAAGAAGUUCAAAAUGGACCAGUCCAAGGAAGGGUUCUUGCCUGUGUUACAAGGUGUGAAGUUGAGUCAGACUCAAUGCCCGACCACCGCAGAAGAUAGAGAGAAAAUGAAAGUCAUUCCCUAUGCCUCAACCAUAGGUUCUAUCAUGUAUGCAAUGCUGUGUACCAAACCUGAUGUGUGCCUUGCUAUAAGUCUAGCAGGGAGGUACCAAAGUAAUCCAGGAGUGGAUCACUGGACAACGGUCAAGAACAUCCUGAAAUACCUGAAAAGGACUAAGGAUAUGUUUCUCAUUUAUGGAGGUGACAAAGAGCUUGUCGUAAAUGGUUACGUUGAUGCAAGCUUUGACACUGAUGCGGAUGACUCUAAGUCACAAACCGGAUACGUAUUUAUAUUGAAUGGUGGAGCUGUGAGUUGGUGCAGUUCCAAGCAGAGCGUCGUGGUGGGAUCUACAUGUGAAGCGGAGUACAUAGCUGGUUCGGAAGCAACAAAUGAAGGAGUCUGGAUGAAGGAGUUCAUAUCCGAUCUAGGUGUAAUACCUAGUGCAUCGGGUCCAAUGAAAAUCUUUUGUGACAAUACUGGAGCAAUAGCCUUGGCGAAGGAAUCCAGAUUUCACAAGAGAACCAAACACAUCAAGAGAAGCUUCAAUUCCAUCCACGAUCAAGUCAAUAAGGGAGACACACAGAUUUGAAAAAUACAUACAGAUCUGAAUGUUGCAGACCCAUUGACUAAGCCUCUUCCACGAGCAAAACAUGAUAAGCACCAAGACUCCAUGGGUGUUAGAAUCAUUACUAUGUAAUCUAGAUUAUUGACUCUAGUGCAAGUGGGAGAUUGAAGGAAAUAUGCCCUAGAGGCAACAAUAAAGUUGUUAUUUAUAUUUCCUUAUAUCAUGAUAAAUGUUUAUUAUUCAUGCUAGAAUUUUAUUAACCGGAAACAUAGUACAUGUGUGAAUACAUAGACAAAACAGAGUGUCCCAAGUAUGCCUCUAGUUGACUAGCUCAUUGAUAAAAUAUGGUUAUGUUUCCUGACCAUAGACAUGUGUUGUCAUUUGAUGAACGGGAUCACAUCAUUAGAGAAUGAUGUGAUGGACAAGACCCAUCCGUUAGCUUAGCAUUAUGAUCAUUUAGUUUUAUUGCUAUUGCUUUCUUUAUGACUUAUACAUAUUCCUCUAACUAUGAGAUUAUGCAACCCCCGAAUACCGGAGGAAUACCUUGUGUGCUAUCAAACGUCACAACGUAACUGGGUGAUUAUAAAGAUGCUCUACAGAUGUCUCCGAAGGUGUUUGUUGGCUUGGCAUAGAUCAAGAUUAGGAUUUGUCACUCCGUGUAUCGGAGAGGUAUCUCUGGGCCCUCUCGGUAAUGCACAUCACUAUAAGCCUUGCAAGCCAUGUGACUAAUGAGUUAGUUGCGGGAUGAUGCAUUACGGAACGAGUAAAGAGACUUGCCGGUUACGAUAUUGAACUAGGUAUGAUGAUACCGACGAUCGGAUCUCGGGCAAGUAACAUACCGAUGACAAAGGGAAUGAUGUAUGCUGUUAUGCGGUUUGACCGAUAAAGAUCUUCGUAGAAUAUGUAGGAGCCAAUAUGAGCAUCUAGGUUCUGCUAUUGGUUAUUGACCGGAGAUGUGUCUCAGUCAUGUCUAGAUAGUUCUUGAACCCGUAUAGGGUCCGCACGCUUAACGUUCAAUGACGAUUUGUAUUAUGAGUUAUGUGUUUUGGUGACCGAAGUUUGUUCGGAGUCCCGGAUGAGAUGACGGACAGGACGAGGAGUCUCGAAAUGGUCCAGAGGUAAAUAUUCAUAUAUUGGAAGGUUAUAUUCGAACAUCGGAAUGGUUCCGAGUGAUUCGGGUAUUUUACCGGAGUACCGAGGGGUGACCGGCACCCCCCGGGGGAAAUAUGGGCCUUAGUGGAGAGAGAGGAGGGCCGCAAGGGGUGGUCGCGCGCCCCCCAUGUCUGUCCGAAUUGGACUAGGGGAGGGGGCGGCGCCCCCCUUUCCCUUUCCCUUUCGCUCUCCCUCUCCUUCCUUUUCCCUCCGGUGGAGAAAGGAAGGGGGGGGGGGCGAAUCCUACUUGGACUAGGAGUCCAAGUAGGACUCCCCCCAUGGCGCGCCCCUCCUGGCCGCCGGCCUCCUCCCCCCUCCUUUAUAUAUGGGGGCGGGGGCACCCCAAAGGCACAUCAGUUAUUCUCAUAGCCGUGUGCGGUGCCCCCCUCCACAGUUUACUCCUCCGGUCGUAGCGUCGUAGUGCUUAGGCGAAGCCCUGCGCGGAUCACAUCAUCAAUACCCUCACCACGCCGUCAUGCUGACGGAACUCUCCCUCGACCCUCUACUGGAUCAAGAGUUCGAGGGACGUCAUCGAGCUAAACAUGUGCUGAACAUGGAGGUGCCGUACGUUCGGUACUUGGAUCGGUUGGAUCAUGAAGACGUUCAACUACAUAAACCGCGUUAACCUAACGCUUCCGCUUUCGUUCUACGAGGCUACGUGGACACACUCUCCCCCUCUCAUUGCUAUGCAUCUCCUAGAUAGAUCUUGAGUGGGCGUAGGAUUUUUUUUUGAAAUUGCAUUCUACGUUCCCAACACUAACACGGACAACACGCACAAUCAUUGCCGCAUCAGGAUCCUACUGGUCCACCCUUAUGGUCAAUAGCUUGGUAUCCUCCUAAGAGGCCGCGAGCUCACCUUCUUCUCUUCGAGGUUGGUCUUCUUCUCUUCGAGCUUGAUAUUCUUCUCGGUCGCCGCCAUCAAGAUGUUAAACCUCCCCGCCUUCUUUUCCCCCUUCACGUCAUAGUGCUUGACACAUGCCUCCUCCUUCUUUGCCCGAAAGUCCUCGAAUCCCUCCGCCAUCUUGGCCGCUACACCUUCUCGCUUAAACUUUUUAUCCUCCCACUUGUUUCUCCAGAUCCCUCUUCUAGACUUCUUGCACAACUGUUUUGUUGGGUUAGUUGGAUCACUCACUUCUUCCUCAUUGCCAAUGUCAACAGUAUUGAUAGAAUUGGCAAUGCAAUUUUGCCACCUAGGUUGCAUAUUCAACUUCAACAAGUAAUGUAUGAGGACGAAAAUCUUCUUUUUCACUUUCAAAGACAAGUUGCAUGCAUGGGAGGGCAUUAAAAAAGACAUUGUCACGAAGGUGCAUAUGGACAAUGAGCAACACAUAGAGCAUAUCCGACCAACAAGUUGCAUAUCUGGUCAAAUGACAUAGAGCAUAUCCUGCCCCUCAUUGACCUAUAUAGGGGGAGGUAGGGGCCUCCCAAGUCGGUUUAUGUCAAGAUCUCUCAUACAAAAUAUCAAUCAAUAUAAUUUGACAUGCAUGACGUAGGGUAUUACCUCCACCAUGAGGUCCUGAACCUGGGUAAACCAUUCAUCCUGUGUGCUCCCAAUAUGAUAUUCAUGUGUAUUGUGCCCCACGAGAAAUCCUAUAAAGGGAUAUGCCAGUAUUAUGAACCAUCAAUUUCUUUGCACCCAACGAGUAUACCCCCUUCACUAUUUUUGGCGCUAAUUCUGGAUGCAUCAAGAUCUCUUCAACACUAUCGCAAGAGUUGUGGUGAAACAUGAUCAUUGGUUUCAAUUGAGAAGGAAACGUUAAAUUUGAUAUGUAUCUAAACUGUGUAUACUUGAAUUUUUAAGUUUUGAAUUAAUAUGUUGCAAACAUAUAUCUUCAAAUGAAGUUUGUAUGCAAACGUUUGGAUGAAUGGGAAAAACAAAAAAAUGUCGAUUAAAUUUUAGGCGUUGGGCUAUAUGAACGAAAGUUUAAUUCCUACAAAAUGAGCAAUUCUAGCAUGGGGAAUAGAGCGGUAAAUUAUGUUACUGUGGAUGGGCUAGAGAUGCUCUAAGCCUCACAUGCUUAUAUAACAGAUGCAAACCGCUUCCCAUCAGGUGAGACACAAUACUUGUUCAGGGCUAAGUGGGUCAUGCUAGGCUCGAUGUUCUUAUUUUGAAAAGCUGAUUUUGACGUUUCUGCUAUCUGCAAGUCUACUAUUUGAUUUCCAUCUUGGGGAGGUAUGUCACACUAUAUACCAUAAUUCAGAAAUCAGGCUUGCAAGUGAUCUCUCCCCCCAAAAAAAUUGUUCCACAUAUUAACUUCUAUCAUCAAGGAGGAUUUGAUCUCAAAGUCAUACUAUUUCUUCCUGACUGAUAGAGGUAAACAAUGUUUCUCUUCAUGUGAAGAAAACACCUGGGGAAACAACCAGAUUUCGCGCGGUUUCCAUCUCCCAGUAAUUUCAUCCCAGUCGUGAGUAUGACAUGGUUGCUUGACUGCCAUAAUGCAUUUAUCACCUAUUAGUAAAAAUGUCCUUCCUCUCCAUGGAGCCUUCAGCAUGAUCAUCAAUAUAAUAACACCUUCCCAGUAGAGUCAUUCCUAUAGUGCAUCAACAGAGUCCAUAGCUCGCAUCAGAUAACUGCAUCGGUUGAUGUGGAUGCACCGGUCUUACUUUUCCAGUCGAAAAUACUAAUGAGAACAUCCUGAUGCCAUGAUCCGCAUAGCCCUGGAUGCAAACUAAAGACCUCGACUUGAUCGAGGGGAAGAAGCUUCCUAUCCCCUACCGUGGCGAUAGGGAUGUCUCAUGCCUCCACAUCGCGGCCUCGCAUUACAUUGCACGCGACGUGAACAACAAAGGAUAACCUAGGAUUCAAGAGCUAGAUAGCGGCGACAUUGGAUUUGGUGCUUGGGAGGGCAGAGGUAGCGGAUGCGGAAUUGAGGAAGGUGGAGGCCGAUACCUAUUUGUUUGGUUUACUCAAAUAUCUCAUCAAAUGUCAUAGAGACAAAAAAAAAUUUUCAUUCAUCCUAAGCUAUCUUUUGAUAAGGAGAAACAUGCUAUCACAGCUCCUAGCCACACACUAUUUAUAGACAUAUACAAGUGAUCAGGUGCAUCCCAACACAAAAUCGUCUCAUGCACUUCCUGCCCAGUUCUCAUGCGUAUAUUGCCGUUCUAGAGAAGGAAUGUAAUCUUCACAAGCAAGAAGAACAAUUUGUUUGUGCUUGUGGUCUAUUUCAUCCAAUUCUUGUGGGUCUCCCUAAGCUAUGGGAACACCAGUUUCAAGUGGAUUUCUCAAGUGAGAUCAGCAGACCAUGGACAACCCGUGAGGAAUGGUCACAAAAGCCAGUGUGGCAUAGUGACUAAAAACUCGAAAGAUCAGCACACUUGUAGUUAGAGAUUCUCAAGAUUCAAUUUAUUUCUCGCAAAGAAGUAUUUAAUUUUGUAAUGGUAUCCCGGGCAAGAAACCUCAGUAUUUCUUAAACCUGUUCGCUUCAAAUUGUAUACUGAGUUUAGUGCUAGCCUCGACCCUCAGUGCUGCCUUCUCUAUAUAUCAGUGGAAUAAACCAGGAACUAGUGUCAGCAAAAAGGUUCCUGAGCUAGAGUUUGCACAUACCAGCCAUGGACAAUAGAGGUCUACGUUGGAACAACUUAUCUACAGGAUUAUUAUUUUUCUGCAUAGAGUUGCAUAUUUGUACUCUUACUAUAUGCAGGUGCAUUAUUUAGGAGGGAUGAAAUGUAUAAAGAGUACAUGAAGCACAUCCCAAUUCCUGAUCACUACGGUUCCCUGAUCCCAUCCACAUCAGGGUCAAUAGCUCCUGUGCGACACAUUUCAUGUGAAUUGGAAGGGGUGCAACGUUGUUCGAGCGAAUGGCUCUGGUGCGACACAUUUGAGCCCGUAAAUAGCCAAGGCACAACAUGGCCCUUAGACUCAAUUGAUGCCCUCGUUAGGUGUUAUGGGUUGGACCCACCACUUAUCCAUGUAUGCGCUAGACCCACCACUUGUCCACGUAAGAGCGGGACCCACCUCUCCGCAGCUAGAAGAGACGAGCACCCGUGCCCGUCCGCCCGCCGCCGCCCAUUGCUUCCCCUUUCCCCAAUCUUUCUCUUCUCCGGCGACCUAGCGCAGAUGUCUAGCUCCUCUGACACGCACUCAAAAUGGCAACAACAUGGUCCAGUGCCGCUCACAAGGUGCCCUGAGUGCCCACGCCUUGUGAAAUGCUUGAGCAAAACAAUGGCAGGAAGGGAUGGCAAGGUUAGAUCUCAGUUCUUAGCCCGUUCUUUCGCUGUCGUUUUCUCUCAUUUCUCCAGAUUUACUUUUUUCUCGUCGAAUUUGGGAUUUAGGGUUCAUGUUGUUGUUUUCAGAUCCUGAAGAAAUGUACACAUUACGAGUGGAUGGAUGAUUAUAUUGAGAGGAUUCAGUUUGAGGGCUACAAUGAUUCGAGCGGGGCCGCAAUCUGUGAGCUCAAUUUGAGCGGGGUGCCACCGAUUGCUGUGGAGAAUUUGAGGAGCUCGGACGGGCGAGGGGCGGGCAGAGUCCUGUCGAUGCUGAGGUAUGCGCACGAUGCUGAACUACAUGCGCAGUCCGAACUGAAUGAGGAACUGAAGAAGAUCAACAAACAUCUAAUGCAGAUGAUCGAUUUGUAGAAGCAAGAAAAUAUCAGGGCAGGGGGGUUCUAUUGUUGUAUCAUUGCUAUGUUCUUCUUGUACUUGUUGUUCAUCCGUCAUUAGAAUGGGCAUUUAGGCCUAUCAAGGCAGAGGACGCGAUCUGUGCGCCAUGCUAAGUUGAUGCAACUGAGUCGAAGCAGCAAUUUGGAAAAUUAUUCAAUGUUCAUGCCCCUAUUUUUGUUCUUCAGUUAACAGAGUGCACACCCAAAUUCAGUUUCUAGUAAAAAAAACCUGGGCUGCCAAAUAGAUGUUGGGCCGUGAGGAAAUAACCAGGCCCAAAGAGAAACCAGCCCACCCGCAUAGGGGCACCAGCCCUUUUUUUUAGCAUAGAGGCACCCAUGUUUAACGAAAAAUGGUUCGACUAAAUAAAAUGUUGCUUGGGCAAAUAAACCUCUAACGAACAUAUACUUCUCGACUUGUUUUUACUUUGGCCAAUUUUUUUCGUGGAACAAUGUAAAUAAAAAUGCGGCAAAAUGCAAAGAGGUAGCACAUGGCACAUGUUUUACUUGGGCUCGUUUUACUUGUGUUAGCUCAAGAAAAUUUACUUCUUUUAACGUUUCAAAAAUUCUCUUACUUGUUUUUGUUCAUGGAAUAAUGUAAAUCAAAAAUCCACUAAAAAUAAAUUAUUUGUGGCUUGUGUAAAAAAGAGGAAUAUCAUUUUUUCACGGGUCAUUUUUUGUCCUUUUACAGUCCAAAAAAUGUCUUUUUUUCACGUUUUGAAAUGCAUUUUUUAAUGGGUGUAUCUAGACCUACAAGCCAAAACACCAUGCAACUUAAAUAAGUAGCAGGAACAUAAUAUAUAAUAGAAAGACACAUAAUAUAGAUAGUUUGAUCGGGCCAACCAAGCCCACAGCGGGCACCCAUAGUACGCUUACAACUUAAAUAACAUAACACAAAUAAAGAUAGAUUUAGCUAAAAAAAUAUAUAGAUGGGUAGAUCGUCUAAACCCUGGCCGCUGCCUUACUUGCUCUCCUUGCUCCUCGCUCCUCCUCCCUCCGGGCACCCUUCACUGCUCCUCCAGGGCGAUGUCGAUGGGGUACGACAGAGUGUGCAUGCGCCCCGCGGUGGGGAAGAUGUUGGUGUAGUCCGUGAAGAUGUUGUGGGUGGUGAAAGCGAUGAACUCGUAGCCACACCAAAACACGCGGCCGAGGAGGUAGAACGCGUUGAAGGGGUUGGUGAAGUGGGCAUGGAUAGCAACCACAACCACGUUGUGGAUGACCUCCUCGACAUGGAACAUCCUUGGAGAUCACCGGGGGAGGUGGCAGUAGCCGGCCCCAAGGAAGAAGUUGGUGAACUCCCUUGCGCCCCUCCAUCUUGACAUCGCCCACACACAGAGUGUGUUCUCGACGUACACCCCGACGGGGUAGAGCCUCUCCGACACGGUGGGAGGAAAGCGGUAGGAUGGCACGGUGUACUGCAUGGCUGCGGUGGCCUGGUUUUGGGGUUGUUGGUGAUGUGAAGAAGAAGGACAGAUGCAGAUGGGAGAGGAUGGGAGAUGGAUGAGGGGUGUGAGAGGAGGAGGAAGAUGAUAGGUGGCUUAAGUAGCCCUAGUGCGACGUGUUUUUUGACUGGUUUCACACCGGGUGGAAGUAAUGAGCAGGCGGCAUUGGGUGGCAUCGGGAGUGUGUACACGCGUGGGAAACCCAAGGCUGCAUCAAUAGCCAGGCUGUGACGUUUCAGCACACGCGGCUGUGCCGUCGGUCGGGGGGUCACGCCUGCUCGGUCUUCUUUGCGUGUGCCACCCGUGCAUGCAUGCAUUGUAGGCUGCUCACCCGCAUGCAUGGCAAUGUAGCCUGCGAGCUAGGGCAGCUAGAGGGAGGCGUGACAAUGUUCGGUCCCAAGGUCCAACGGGUGGGCUUCUGUACCGCAACCCAAUAGCGCGCAUGCAUGGCAGCAGCUCACCCUCGAGUGUAGAACAAACAAAGGGCAAAAAUUAAGCGUUUUCAAAUCCAGCCAAUCACAGCACCGAACUAGUUUCAUGCGGAUCGCUGACGUGGCACUGCAUGCUGAUCCACACUGUUCGACGCGCAGCGAUCCAACGGUCAGAAAUGGUUGGGGGAGUGAUCCAGCGUUCUCGAAUAUGGCCAAUCAGAGCGCUUCACUCGGAUCGUUGACGUUGCCCUAGCGCCUGAUCCACACUGUCCAUUCGCAGAUAUCCAAUGGGCCAGAAGGAUGCGGUGUUUUGGCUAGGGUUUGAGGGGUUUUGAGGGCUAGGGUUGACCAUAACUAAUUUAAAAAAUCAGAAAAAUAUGAAACUUGCACCAUCAUCGUUUUAUGUUACUAGGUUGCUGGAAAAAAAAUAAGAAACCUGGUCUACGGGUAUAUUCAUGAAAAACCCUUCACAAAACCUAGCUAUCACGAACAAGGUUGUGUGGUAUUCAGGUUAGGGUUUAGGGUUAAGCAUGUCAUAGUUUAUCCAAACGAUCCAAUAUUGGGCAUGGACCCUAUAUUUGCACACUGGAAUUCAAGUUUUGAUUUUUGGCUCAUUUAGAGAAGGUCGGAAAAAACUUGCUUGCAAAUGGGAUGUUUAUCCUAGCUUUGGAGCUCAUUUUUCAUGACUAGUGUUUCACUCAAAAAAAAGUCAUCAGAUUGAUCACCUAACAUGCAUAAUAUUUGAGAAAUCAUUGUAACAUCAAUACCCAAACUAAACAACUUCAAAUUUGAAUUUUGGCUCAAAUUUGAAAUUCGGCCAGAAUUUGAAUAGAGUUACACAAAUACCCAUCAAAGUAAAAAUAACAUUACACAAAUUCAAGAAAGUUCUUUACACAAAUGCAGGCAAGUUUUUUAUUCAGACAAGAACAAUAUUUCACCUCUACUUAUUCUUACCACUCGAUUUCUUUUUCUUUUUCUUGGCACUUGUUGAUCCUGCGACGGGUACAACACCCAGUUCACUCAAGCUCCUGGUUUCCUUCAUUGGACCAUCUAGGAAAGCUUUAGUUGGCAUCACAAAAUCUAAAUGAGGCCUAGUGUGCACAACAUCAACUACAACAGCUUCAAUUUGUAACACAACUUCCAAUAUAGGUUCAGUUUGCACAUCAACCGCAUCAACUUCAGUUCUAGUUUGCACCACAUUUUGCUCAUUUUGCUCAUUUUGCCCCACAUCCAAAUCUUGCUUAUUGUGCACUUCAUCCGAAUGUUGCUCAUUUUGCACCCCAACAUCAUCCAAGUUUGGCUCAUUUUGCACCACAACAUCAUCCAAGUUUUGGCUCAUCAUGCACCACAACAUCAUCCAACUUAGGUUCAUCUUGCACCACAACAUCGAAGUCUGGUUCAGUGUGCACACUUUCACCAAAACUUCUCUUUUUUCUACAGCCAUUGAUUCUUGCCUUUUUGAUUGGCUAGCCAUCUUCAACAACAAGGGGUUAACUUCCACGCUUCCUCCUGGAAAACAAAGCUUGUAAUUUGCCUAGUAACUAAAAACAACAUCCAAAUAAAAAAACACAAACAUAAACAUACUUUGGUCUUUCUAGAGUGUAACGACAUUUUGGAAAUCCUUUUUCGGUGCCCAAGUUCUUGGCACAGCUUGCAUAUAUUUUGUUACCUUUUUGGCUUUGCAUCCUUCUUCCCCUUCCCCCUUUUACUACUCCCACCUUUCUCAAACCAUGCCUUGAAUCUACUCUCUUUAGGCCUGCCAGCCUUUCUUUUUGUUAGGGGAGGACACAUGGAAAAUUCAAUUUCCACUUCAGGCCACUGAGACUGAUCUGUAAGUGCUGGAACUGGAGUUGCAUAUGCAGCCUUGAAUCUUGCCACUGAGUAAUAUUCAUGCAAAUAUGGGUGCAUGUUUAUCUUGGGUUGGGAGGCCAAGAAAAGUAUGACAUGGUCACAUGGUUUUCCGGUGUGUUGCCACUCAAGGCAAAUGCAGUCAUGCAACUCAAUAUUAACAACAUGCCUCCUUCCAGUCUUGGUAUCUCUAACUUCAACACCACAAUGAAGAUUUUUCAACAGACAAAUGUGUAAGAUUUCUGCUUCUGUUCACCACCUGUUGUACCACUGCAUGAAGCUUAUCCCCUUGCAGACAAUCACCAAUCCUUCUUCUCAAUUCCCACAUGUGCAUGAUCAUGAUCCUGAUUUGGUCAACCAUGUCAUGCAUAGGCAAGUUUUUUAACUGCUUUAUCUUGUUAAAAAUUUCUGCCAAGUUAUUGUUGAUAUGAUCACACUUGAUGGCAGUGUUAAAUCCUGACCUGUACCACAACAGAGAAUGAUAGGUGUCCAACCAUGGACCAAACUCACUGCAUGCUGCUUUUAUCUUAUUUUAAGAUGAUAUGAAUGUGUCUGUUUGGUGUAAGAUCUUGCUUCUGGCCACAUUCUCCCAAAUUCUUCUCCUCUGAAUUUUUUGAAAAUUCAUCCACAUAUGGUCGAAGCACUCCCUCUGCUCACAAUGAGGAAAAACAUUAUUCACUGCAUUUUCUAGCCCUUUACAUGCAUUUGUGUGUACUGCCAAAGGUGACACUGGCCCCAUGCAUCUUUUCAACUGCAUCAUGAACCAUGUCCAUGAAACCUCUGUCUCUGACUGAAACAAACCAAUAAAAACAGGGAACAUCCAGUUGUGCCCAUCUAAAGCAUUGCAUGCUGCCAAUUGACCAUUCCAUUUGCCAGUCAAAAAAGAUGAGUCUAUGCUCAAAUAUGGACGGUACCCUGCUUUGAAGCCAUCUAUGCAAGGCUUUAAAGCCAUAAAUAACUUGGAGAAAAGAACUCUACCAGCCUUUGUUACCUCAGUAUCUAUCUCCACAACACUGCCAGGUGACCUCUUCUCCACCUCUGCUUUGAAGUUAUGAAGCAUCCUAAAAGUAUUUGCCCAAUCACCAUAUAAUUAUUUCAUUGCCCUCUGUUUUGCUUUCCACACUAUGGUAUACUUCACCUUAAUGCGGUACUGCUUUUCCAAGUCCACUUUAAGUUUCUUUGAUGUAGUGUUCGGUUUCUUGGCUAAAAUUGGAGUGAUCUUUUCUGCAAUCCAAAGUUGUGAUGUCAUGGUUGAUACUCUCUGUGAACUUGUAAUACAAGUAUGUGGAUUUGAGAUUUGAUUAACCCUGAUGGUACUUCCAUCAGGUUGAAUUCUAGCAGAUAUGUACCACUUGCAAGGCCCAACGCUUCCAUCAAAACCUCUGCACCUUGCAUAAAAUUUCUUUUUAUUAGUCCACAUAGUCUUGGCAUCAAACUCAUGUUUGACUACAUAAGUCUUGAAACACAUCCUGAACUCCUUCAUGCUUGGGAACAAAUUGCCUACUUCAAUAACAGGAUUUUCUUUGUCAUACACUUACAAGCUCAUCAUCAUGUGCAUCAUCUACAUCAUCUGCAGCAGCUUUCAUCAGCUGUCCAUCCGCAUCUUCACAAGCAUCUAUGUUAGAAUCAUUAGGCAAGCUCGAUUCACCCCUCUCUUCCUCAUCUUGAUCAUCUGCUGGAAUGCCAAUUUUUUUGCCAUCUCAGUGUCAGCCAUUGGUGCAAUGACCAAAUCAGUAGUGUCUUCUAAUUGUACUAAAUUCCAAUCAACACAAACAACCCUUGCAGCACCAUCACGACCCUCUUCUGCAUCUUGAUCAGGCCCCUCUAUUACUGUCACUUCACCCGUGCACAUGGGCGUUAUCUGUCUCUGUGAAGCCCGAUCAUCAUCUACCCUCUGCGAAGCCAACUUUGAGGGCACAUAUCCAACCUUAGAAUCUGAUUUCAGAUUAAUGGGCUCUGCAUGAAAGGUAGUCUGUUUGCUUGCCCAGCCGUCUUGCCGAUCGAUUUCAUCAACCAUCUCUUCACCAUUCUGAAUUCUCACAUACUCACCCUUCCAAUUAUCAAACCGUAAAAAUGCUACCUCUUACUCUAGGCCCCAAAAAGUGCUUUCCCCAAUUUUCUCCACAACAUUCCUCACGGCCCUCUCUUCCAUGCUCUCUAUUUCCUGUGGAUCAAUAUCUUCAAAUUCAACCUCCCAUUUCACAAUUGUAUCUCUCUCUCUCUAUGUCUCGCACGCUACCAUCAACUAGCUUUUCUUUAGAUGGUAAGAAUUCAACACUGAAUUCGAAGGUCCGAGCAACAUUGCCCCUGUUUAUCAAUGGCGGACACUGUGAGGCACCGAAAGCAGACAAGGCACACAUCGCAGGGUUGAAGAGGUUGGACAGGGUGAUUACCUGGUCGAUGUUGACUCUCGUGGCUCCAUCUCAUUCAGCCCAACACCACCCCGCCCCCGCUCCCCAGUCCACCCACCUCCACAAUCUGGGUCCCGUAGAAAAACAGGGCAAAUAGAGGCUCACUUGGUCAGAUCUAACUCAAGACGGAGGGGAAUGGUGCCGAAUACACUCACCACAUGCGCAGUCACGGCCGUGGACGAAAGCUCCGCCGCCGCCGCUGACGACGACAAGAACGAAGAAGAGAGCAGCAACCAGAAGCAGGAGAGAAGCACGUGUUCAGUCAGGCGGGGAAUCAAUGCACUGCCAAGUGGGACCCACCACCAGACGCAGUGAUUAGUUUGACCCCCUGUUUUUACCUUAACCGUAGUCCCGUUGACGACCAGACCCGUGUUUUAACCACCUGGUCGUAUUGGGGCUAUUAUUGCCAUGUAAGACGGCACAUAGGAGCUAUUUCUAGCAAUUACGUUGCACUCCUUGCAAUUCACAUGAAAUGUGUCGCAUAGGAGCUAUAAACCCUCCACAUCAUGGCUGGGACUUGGAAGAUCGGUGAAGUAGUUGUAUCAACAACCCUUGCAUUACCUCACCAACAUCCUCUUGGGACAGUGGGAUCAACAGAGGGUCGGGAGGCUCAAGCCCUCAUUUGGGCCACUGAAGAAGUCCAUAGGCUGACCACUUAGGGAGGCUCUGGGCUAGAGACCCCAUUUAUCAUGCUUACAUAGAUCCAGUGUUCCCUUCCCUAAAGUCGCAUUAGCAAACAUUGCAAGUUGGAGCGUCUUGUCCUGUCUGCUCCCUCCGUUCCAAAUUACUUGUUUUAGAUUUGUCUAGAUACAGAUGGAUGUAGACACGUGUUAGUGUUAGAUACAUUCAUAAAUCUAAGACUGGGACAGAGGGAAUAUUUUUCUUUCUGAUUGCUGUAAGCGGGCAUAUUUUGGUUGUUAGCAAAGUAAUAUGGACCAUAUAUCACUGAUGUUAAAAGUAUGAUAUGGCAUGGUUUAACGCUGGUUUUAGCUCUCUAAGCAGUAGCUAUGUUAAAGAAGAAGAAACCUGGUGGUGUGGAUUUCAGUGCGUUGAGUCGGCACGGGUAUCAUGGCAGACUAUCUAUACUGACAGUUGUUCCUCCAAAGGUUGAGCCUAUCCGGACUUGGUCCACCGGGAGUCUUUUGAAGAGCGGGAACACACAACGGCUGUAGUAAGUGAGGGAGAGAACCUUAUACUCCCUCCAUUUCUAAAUAUAAGUGUUUUUAGACAUUUCAAAUGGAUUAUAACAUACAAAUGUAUGUAGACAUAUUUUAGAGUGUAAAUUCACUCAUUUUGCUUCGUAUAUAGUCACUUGGAAUUUCUAGAAAGACUUGUAUUUGGGAAAUGGAGGGAGCAGGUGUGAUGAACCCCCAGCCAAGGCAGACCGAGAAAGAGAAGGAGGUUGCUUCAUUCUCACAGAAGGAGAAACAGAAGAGAGACCGCGGACAUGCCAGCAGGGGUAAGAACUACGUCGAGGAGGAGAAGCGGCUCCUGAGGGGGAGUGGCGUUUACUCUGGCUUUGAUACUUGAAAGUGUCCAGAACAAAUGUUAUCUUGUUGUGUUAGCUUCCAUCGUCACUGUUGGUUCGUCUGCUCCUGUAGUUUUGUCGCGAAGGUGACUGGCGGUCAAUGGGGGCAAUGCUUAUUUAUCUAUUACCUAUCUGGCUUUGCGCUGGUUUAAACUUUUGACAUGCCUGUUAUUUUGCCAGAGCAGUGCUCCCUUUUCCGUG